rnacentral:tRNA from 1 species
AGCAGGGUGGCUCAGUUGGUUAAGCAUCUGUCUUCUGCUCAGGUCAAGUUUCAGGGUCCUGGGCUCCGGCCUUGGCAUCGGGCUCCCUGCUCUGCUG